AACUUAAAGGCUUUGAUCAUUAAGUCCAUGAUGCUUCCUUCCAACAUGUUGAUAACCAUGCUAAUUGAAGGUCUAUUUUCUGGCUUUAUCUGAACUGGCAAAUGGUCAAAACAAGUUUAAUAAUAAGGAGCACACAUAUAGCUUGAUAUCUGAAUUGCUUCCCUUGCUGAAACAUAUCUAUCAGAACCAAUUAAAUGAACUGGAAGUAAAGCAAGGGGAUCAAGAAGGUGGAUUUUCUGGUGUACUUCUUCGAGUAUAUGAGCCUCACAAUGAGCUUGUUAACUGUAAUUAUUGCAGGACUUCACUAGUGGAUUUUCACAGAAGUUGCUCAAAUUGCUCUUACAAACUUUGCUUAGAUUGUU